GACGGGGGCUGCUCCUAGUACGAGAGGACCGGAGUGGACGUACCGCUGGUGUACCUGUUGUCUCGCCAGAGGCAUCGCAGGGUAGCUAUGUACGGAAGAGAUAACCGCUGAAAGCAUCUAAGCGGGAAACUCGCCUGAAGAUGAGGAUUCCCUGGCGGCUUGACCGCCUUGAAGGGUCGUUCGAGACCAGGACGUUGAUAGGCUGGGUGUGGAAGCGCAGUAAUGCGUUAAGCUAACCAGUACUAAUUGCCCGUAAGGCUUGAUCCUAUAAC
rnacentral:rRNA from 1 species